rnacentral:rRNA from 1 species
GAUGAACGCUGGCGGCGUGCCUAAUACAUGCAAGUCGAGCGAACAGACGAGGAGCUUGCUCCUCUGACGUUAGCGGCGGACGGGUGAGUAACACGUGGAUAACCUACCUAUAAGACUGGGAUAACUUCGGGAAACCGGAGCUAAUACCGGAUAAUAUAUUGAACCGCAUGGUUCAAUAGUGAAAGACGGUUUUGCUGUCACUUAUAGAUGGAUCCGCGCUGCAUUAGCUAGUUGGUAAGGUAACGGCUUACCAAGGCAACGAUGCGUAGCCGACCUGAGAGGGUGAUCGGCCACACUGGAACUGAGACACGGUCCAGACUCCUACGGGAGGCAGCAGUAGGGAAUCUUCCGCAAUGGGCGAAAGCCUGACGGAGCAACGCCGCGUGAGUGAUGAAGGUCUUCGGGUCGUAAAACUCUGUUAUUAGGGAAGAACAAAUGUGUAAGUAACUAUGCACGUCUUGACGGUACCUAAUGAGAAAGCCACGGCUAACUACGUG